AGUGCCCUCGUUCGAUUCCCUCGCGGUUGACCGUGUGUCUAUGCCAUGGCUGUUUCUUAUCGAACACGCACUUGUUACACCAGUUGUACCAAAAGAUUGGUGAUUGCAGAAUUAACCAUGAGGUGUCGUCGGAGACCUUAAUUGAGUGGGUAAAGUCCGUCGUUGGAUGGGAGUUGCAGUUGAGUGGGUCGUAGAGGACGUCAUUCCAGCAAUUGAGUGGAGUGAGUUGUGCGGUCCCAUGGAGCUCAUUGUAUUUUUUCCACGCUGUGUUGAUGUGAAGGCACUCCCAAAAGGCGUGGAGUAUCGUUUCGAUGGAUUCGUUGUUACAUUGUGAAUAGUGGCCAUCUUUUUGCAUCACCUGUCGCCAUGCUUUCACAAGUAGAUGGGCCGCUGCUGACUACUUCGAGCUCUUUUGAGGAGUGCCUUCACAUCAACACAGCUCUUUUGAGGCUGUGCCUUGAUCCUGAGUAUAUAGAAUAUUCCAAUAAUAGGACCAUUUGUAUCCGGUGUCCACCAUUUUGUUGGUGCAUAGGCUUGUGCCUCACUUGGGUACUACGACAUGCUUUCUAGUAUGUUGGCGCGUUGGUCUUCUACUUGUCGGCCGCCUAUGUUGCAGUGUGGCGGUGUUGUGCCAUUCUGCUGUGGUUGGGUUCCAUAGGUCUCUGCAGGUUUUCAGUCCCCAGCCAGCCCAUAAGUGGUAUCUGUCUGCUGUGUUGUGACCCCAUGUGGUGCCAUCUCGAGCUCAAAUUAGGAUGUUGUUAAAUAGAGGUUGUUGUAUGAUUUCGUCUUUGUAUCGUGGAAUGCAUUGUUGUAAGCCAGUUUGUAAUUUUUGUUACACUUGUCUCGUUUUAAGCUAGAGAUGCAAACCUGUAUUUGUGAUUGAGGCUUUGGCUCCCAUAAUUUUGUGAGGACUUGGAUACCAGGCUCCACCUCUGCGGUAUUACAUUUCUGUAGCGCGGUGCCAAAGUAAGACCUUCUAGGGCUCUGCGCCUGGUGCCAUACCUCAAUCCAUCAAUUUUGCUAAUAGUGCCCGUGCAUGUAUCUCAGGAUUGAAUACUUUGAUUCUGCCAUGUGUAAGUGGCUGAAUUGCAUUGUUCUAUUGUACCUUGGCGCAUGUGAUUCCUGUGGUCAUGCCCAACCAAAGAUAGUUUCUCAUGAGUGCUCAAAUUUGUAUGAAGAUUUUUGUCUAAAUGCUUGAGCAUGAGACAAUGUACCAAAUGGAUGCGAGGAUUACUUGAUUGAUGAUCAUUGUUCUUCUUGCAAAUGAGAGCUGCUUGGGAUUCCAUUUGAUGAGUUAUGUAGUUAUUUGGCAUAGGAUUUUGGCUCCAUUUUUAGCAGGGGAUGUGUGGAAACCAAUCGAGAACCCAAGAUAUAGCACUGAGGAGUCUGGUCUGAUCCAAGUGAGUCCUUGCUGACGUCCCUAGUCCAGGUUAUGUGGUCUUGGUGAAGCCCAUAUGGCGGCAGUUUUGUUCCAAUGUAUUUUUGCCCCCCAAACCUGGCAAUAAGUGUCAAAUACUCUCUUAGUUCUGUUUAGGUUUUCUUGGUCUCCUUUUAAGAACAGUGAUGUGUCAUCGGCUAACAUGGAGUUGGUGUGCCUCGUUGAAUCAUGUAAGAUGAUUCCUUCCACCUUGUGUUUGUCGUCGUCUAGUAUGUAUCUUAGAGCAUCAGCUGCAAAGAGGAAUAGGAAUGAUGUGAAGAGGCAGCCGUGGCACUUAGAUCUUUUCAAUUGGAAGAAUGUGCUUUGUUUCCUAUUUAUCAUGAUCAAUGCUUUUACUUCUAUGCUAAGUGCCAUUAUCCA